GCGGGUGUAGUAUAACGGUAUUACUCCAGGUUUCCAACCUGAUUACAGGGGUCCGACUCCCCUCACCCGCU
rnacentral:tRNA from 1 species